UACAGAGGUCUCAAGCGUUGUUCGGAUUCAUUGGGCGUAAAGGGUGCGUAGGUGGCGCUGUAAGUCAGGCGUGAAAUUUCGGAGCUUAACUCCGAAACUGCAUUUGAUACUGCGGUGCUCGAGGACUGGAGAGGAGACUGGAAUUUACGGUGUAGCGGUGAAAUGCGUAGAGAUCGUAAGGAAGACCAGUGGCGAAGGCGGGUCUCUGGACAGUUCCUGACGCUGAGGCACGAAGGCCAGGGGAGCAAACGGG
rnacentral:rRNA from 1 species